CUUUGGGGACAGGUGAAAUUCCUUACCGGCGGUAAAGUCCGCGAGCGAGAGCUGACUUGGUGAAAUUCCGAGACCGACAGUAAAGUCUGGAUGAUAAAAG
rnacentral:ncRNA from 1 species